UGGGACUUGAACCCAGGUCUUCUGCAAGAACCGUGUUCUUAACCGGAGAGCCAGAUCCCCAGCCCUCCAGGAACGUCUCCAUCAGAGGCCCAGCUGGAAAAUGAAACAACAGAGCCACAAGCCAGCGGCACAGAGGUCAGAAGAGGACAUCAGAUCCCCUGGAACUGGAGUUAAAGAUGGUUGUUAGCU